AGUGGCGGACGGGUGAGUAACGCGUGAGCAACCUGCCCCGGAGUGCGGAAUAACGUCUGGAAACGGACGCUAAUACCGCAUGAUACACAGAGGACGCAUGGACUUUGUGUCAAAGAGAAAUCGCUCCUGGAUGGGCUCGCGUCCGAUUAGUUAGUUGGUGAGGUAAUGGCUCACCAAGACCGCGAUCGGUAGCCGGACUGAGAGGUUGAACGGCCACAUUGGAACUGAGAAACGGUCCAGACUCCUACGGGAGGCAGCAGUGGGGAAUAUUGGGCAAUGGGGCCGAAAGCCUGACCCAGCGACGCCGCGUGAGGGAAGAAGGUCUUCGGAUUGUAAACCUCUGUUGACAGGGAAGAAAAAAUGACGGUACCUGUCGAGGAAGCCACGGCUAACUACGUGCCAGCCGCCGC
rnacentral:rRNA from 1 species